CGGACGGGUGAGUAAUGUCUGGGAAACUGCCUGAUGGAGGGGGAUAACUACUGGAAACGGUAGCUAAUACCGCAUAACGUCGCAAGACCGAAAGAGGGGGACCUUCGGGCCUCUUGCCAUCGGAUGUGCCCAGAUGGGAUUAGCUAGUAGGUGGGGUAACGGCUCACCUAGGCGACGAUCCCUAGCUGGUCUGAGAGGAUGACCAGCCACACUGGAACUGAGACACGGUCCAG
rnacentral:rRNA from 1 species